UUGGUUGAUCAACAGAACAUAGACACUUCUUUCCCCAGGGGGCUUGGUGCACAAUGGCUGCAGACUGCAGCCUACUUGGUAGACUAUGCAGCCUAUUGCUUACAUGGGUUGCCCUAAGGGACCUUGGAGACAGCC